AUGCGCGUUCAUGUGAGGCGAGACAUUUUUGAAAACUUGUUUCAAGACACAGGAGAUGUCGGGUUGAAAUAUUAAUGAUGUUUCACGUUAAAAAUGGACCAAAAGAUUGAUGCUAAACAACGUUUGACAUGUUUGAACGAACGUAAAUAGAUUUUUUUUUAACUUUUCGUCGUGACUUUUCCCUCCCAUUUUGAGUAGCCUACCGAACGCGCUAACAACACGGAACAGCAUGGAGUUAUUUGGACAUAAAUUAUGAACUUCAUCGAAAAAAAAAAAACAUUUGUUGUGGACCUGAGAUUCCUGGAAGUGCCUUCUGAUGAAGAUUAUUAAAGCAUAUCGUCAUCCCCUCCUCCUAAGCCCGUAGUAGACGGUCGUCACUAUCUAACACCAUUACCAUGGCAGCCAGCAACACCAAGAGGCUUCAAGCUGGCAGAGCCCACAUCUAUACAGGAAAAUAAACUAAAGAGGACUCCACCCUGAUGUGUUUCACUGAGUCAAGAGACAAAGAGAUAGUGUUGCUGGAAGGGGGAGCUGAGUGCUGGUAUCUACUACCUCCUGCCCUUCACCAUGGGCUGUAGGCUGAGGAAGAGGACGAGCUGUGUAAACCAGUCACGCUGGUCAACAGGACAGACACUGGGGAGCUGGACCUCAUCAGGGAGUUCAGUUUAGACCCAAUGAUUCAUCUGACAAACAAAUAACUUUUCGUGCUGCCGGCCCAGGCAUGGAUCAAAGCUGGCGAGACAUUCAAUGACGUCAUCUUCACAGACGAAUCAACUGUGGCCCUUGAGCAAUUUGCUCAAAAUUGCUACAGAAAAUAACGAAAAAGAUCAAGCAUCCCUCAAACUCUAUAUUAUAUUUUUUUUAUGGUAUCUUGGCUCCAGAUUUCUUUGGGGGAGAAAUCAUCAAGAGAUAUGCUGGACCCUAUGUCAGAGAGGUGUUUCUGGGACCACAUUGUUUCUUUCAAAGUAGGAUUAUAGCAAUAUUUUGUUAUGUUUAGGCCUAUUUACAUGUAUAUUUCUAGUAUUGUACCUAAUGUUGGCUGGUAGGCUAAAUGUCUUUUAUGUAUGCGGAUGACUCAACACUACAUACAUCAGCUACCACAGCGAGUGAAAUCACUACAACACUUAAAGAGUUGCAGUUCGUUUAAGAAUGGGUGGCAAGGAAUAAGUUAGUCCUAAAUAUUUAAACUAAAAGCAUUAUAUUUGGGACAAAUCAUUCACUAAACCUUAAACCUCAACUAAACCUUGUAAUUAAUAAUGUGGAUAUUGAGUAGGUUGAGGUGACUAAACUGCUUGGAGUAACCCUGGAUUGUAAACUGUAAUGGUAAAAAUAUAUUGAUACAACAGUAGCUAAGAUGGGGAGAAGUCUGUCCAUAAUAAAGCACUGCUCUGCCUUUUUAACAACACUAUCAACAAGACAGAAAAUACAACUUAUUGAACAGCGGGGACUGUGAAGAGCCACAGACACACAUACACAUGAUAAGACACGCACUCUACACAUACGUACACAUGGAUUUUGUGUUGUAGAUAUGUGAUAGGAGAAUAGUGGCCUGAGGGAACCUAUUUAAAUGUGUUGUGAAAAGUAUUAUGGAAUGUAAUGUCAGGUAAUAUUUUAAAUUGUAUAUCACUCUUGAUGGUACCACUGCUCUUUAAUGAGCUUUACGUUUCCGUGAGGCCGAUACGUAAAGCUUAUUAAAGAGCAGUGAUACUAGCAAUAGCGGUGUGAGGGUUUUUUCUUUUUUCUCAUUUUAUUCAACUGUUACCAUGCACCUGCAAAAACAGUGCCUUUUGAAUUUUAAAUUGUAUACUGUAUAACUGCCUUAAUGUUGCUGGACCCCAGCAGCUAAUGGGGAUACAUAAUAAUUACAAAGAGUGUGCCCUGUUUAGCUGUCUUAAUGCAAUAACUUACUUAGGCCUAUAUGUCAAUAUAUAGGCUACUGUAUCAGUCGAUCAAUCAUUCAUUUGUUCAUGUCAUCACAGCAUACGAGUCACGCUUUGAAAUGCAAUUAAGCAUUUUAGUUUUAAAAUUAAAUAACAAAGGGAGCCUUGAAUAAUUAGCCAACAUUUUGUAUAAACUGCAACAUGUUGGCAAUUGCAUUCACAAAUGCAUGCGACUCAGGGCCAGCAUUAUGGGCGGGCCUUAGGGGGCCUGGCCUGCCCUACCAUACCUCCCGG
rnacentral:lncRNA from 1 species